UGGCUCAGGAUGAACGCUAGCGGGAGGCCUAACACAUGCAAGCCGAGCGGUAGAGAUUCUUCGGAAUCUUGAGAGCGGCGUACGGGUGCGGAACACGUGUGCAACCUGCCUUUAUCAGGGGGAUAGCCUUUCGAAAGGAAGAUUAAUACCCCAUAAUAUAUMGAAUGGCAUCAUUUGAUAUUGAAAACUCCGGUGGAUAGAGAUGGGCACGCGCAAGAUUAGAUAGUUGGUGAGGUAACGGCUCACCAAGUCUGCGAUCUUUAGGGGGCCUGAGAGGGUGAUCCCCCACACUGGUACUGAGACACGGACCAGACUCCUACGGGAGGCAGCAGUGAGGAAUAUUGGACAAUGGGUGCGAGCCUGAUCCAGCCAUCCCGCGUGAAGGACGACGGCCCUAUGGGUUGUAAACUUCUUUUGUAUAGGGAUAAACCUAGAUACGUGUAUCUAGCUGAAGGUACUAUACGAAUAAGCA
rnacentral:rRNA from 1 species